GCAGUCGCCACGGUAACACAGAGGGUGCGAGCGUUAAUCGGAUUUACUGGGCGUAAAGCGUGCGUAGGCGGCUUCUUAAGUCGGAUGUGAAAUCCCUGAGCUUAACUUAGGAAUUGCAUUCGAUACUGGGAAGCUAGAGUAUGGGAGAGGAUGGUAGAAUUCCAGGUGUAGCGGUGAAAUGCGUAGAGAUCUGGAGGAAUACCGAUGGCGAAGGCAGCCAUCUGGCCUAAUACUGACGCUGAGGUACGAAAGCAUGGGGAGCAAACAGGAUUAGAUACCCCAGUAGUCCCUGUCUCUUAUAC
rnacentral:rRNA from 1 species